rnacentral:rRNA from 1 species
UGGGGAAUAUUGGACAAUGGGCGAAAGCCUGAUCCAGCCAUGCCGCGUGUGUGAAGAAGGUCUUCGGAUUGUAAAGCACUUUAAGUUGGGAGGAAGGGCAGUAAGCGAAUACCUUGCUGUUUUGACGUUACCGACAGAAUAAGCACCGGCUAACUCUGUGCCAGCAGCCGCGGUAAUACAGAGGGUGCAAGCGUUAAUCGGAAUUACUGGGCGUAAAGCGCGCGUAGGUGGUUCGUUAAGUUGAAUGUGAAAGCCCCGGGCUCAACCUGGGAACUGCAUCCAAAACUGGCGAGCUAGAGUAGGGCAGAGGGUGGUGGAAUUUCCUGUGUAGCGGUGAAAUGCGUAGAGAUCUGGAGGAAUACCGAUGGCGAAGGCAGCCAUCUGGCCUAACACUGACGCCGAGGUACGAAAGCAUGGGGAGCAAACAGG